rnacentral:rRNA from 1 species
GUCAGCCGCCAUAUCACCCUGUAGCCCAAGACUGGUUGCCCACUGAAGCUAAGCAGGGCUGAGCCUGGUCAGUAUCUGGAUGGGAGACCUCCUGGGAAAAACUAGGUUGCUGCUGGAA